GGUGGGUAAUCAAAUGGUGGUUGAGUUGGUGGGUAACCGUAAAAUAGGUGCGGUUGUGGUGGUAUGAAGCCGCAGGUCUGCAUCAUUCCAACGGUGGGGUUUUGACAUACAUUGAACACACCAGUCGCUGGAUUUCCGGGUGUGUUAUAUCCAAAACGCGAUGGCGGCUGUCGAACUCGUUGUGGUCGCGGAUAAAAUCUAGCAGUUUCUUCGCCGUUAUUUCCCGCUUGGAUCACAUUUUCAUGUUCAUUCGUCG